AUUGAACGCUGGCGGCAGGCUUAACACAUGCAAGUCGAGCGGGGGAAGGUAGCUUGCUACCGGUCCUAGCGGCGGACGGGUGAGUAAUGCUUAGGAAUCUGCCUAUUAGUGGGGGACAACAUCUCGAAAGGGAUGCUAAUACCGCAUACGUCCUACGGGAGAAAGUAGGGGAUCUUCGGACCUUGCGCUAAUAGAUGAGCCUACGUCGGAUUAGCUAGUUGGUGGGGUAAAGGCCUACCAAGGCGACGAUCUGUAGCGGGUCUGAGAGGAUGGUCCGCCACACUGGGACUGAGACACGGCCCAGACUCCUACGGGAGGCAGCAGUGGGGAAUAUUGGACAAUGGGGGGAACCCUGAUCCAGCCAUGCCGCGUGUGUGAAGAAGGCCUUAUGGUUGUAAAGCACUUUAAGCGAGGAGGAGGCUACUUUAGUUAAUACCUAGAGAUAGUGGACGUUACUCGCAGAGUAAGCACCGGCUAACUCUGUGCCAGCAGCCGCAGUAAAAC
rnacentral:rRNA from 1 species